rnacentral:lncRNA from 1 species
UAAACAAGAAAGGCCAGACUAACAUGCUGGUGUGAACCUUGUUGAAGCAACUUUCCUUUAGUCAGCAACACAGCAAGAAGCAACUUUGCUUUAAAUGAUUUUUAGUCUGUACAAUAUACACCAAUUUUGAAUUUAGCCCUUAUAACAAUUUCUUACUAGUUUUAAUCCUUUAAACAUAAGAAAAGCUGUUUUUGGUCCUUGUUGUUUUGGAUUUAGUCACUAUAUUGUCCAUAUCAUAUCAGAUUUAAUCAUUGUAAAAUGUGAACUAUAUUGAUUUAUGUCCUUGGAAUAAGGACAAUAUAGAGAGUUACAAACAUAGAUAAAUAUUUUCUUUUUUGGUACAUAAACAUAGAUAAAUCUUACAAGAGCUAAAACAAACAAAAAAGGACCAAAAGCAAAUUUUCAAUGUUUCAAGACAAUCUUGUUAUGGACUAAACUAGAAAAGGUGUAUAUCACAGGGACCAAAAUUUCAUUUAAGCCGUUUUCAUUUGACAACAUGUAACCUUAUGCUUACUAAAAGUUGAUUUUCACAAUCACAAGUGAUUUUCCAAAAAAUUUGCAACCAUCAUAAGUGAAUAUUGGUCUUAAUUAUUUCUUGAAUCUAACCCAAAACACACAUUCCUCAACCCCCUCGUAUCAAAAUUAACAAUGCCAGAACUAGCGAUGCAUGCUUCUAGCUUGGCAAUUCUAUCCUUUAAAUUUAUGAAUGAAACAAAAAAAAAAAUUGAAACCCAAACACACAAAGAACUUUAGAUUUCUGAUCUGUUUUUUUUUAACAAGCAGAUUUCUGAUCUUUAAUUACAGGAAUGAAAUGACAUGGAGAUGAGGGUGAAUAAACAAAUGUAAAAAGGACAAAAUUUUUUUUUGAAAACUUGGUAUCCGGCCUUAGGACCGACUAAUCCAAGGGGACCAAUCUCACCGCCCACUUGCGAGGGCCCCAUUUAAAGCCAGGGUUUUUUUUUGCUCUGUAUGGACUUAGCCCACCGAAAUUGGCACCAGUGAGAAUCGAACCUGAGACCUUGAGAGGAGCAUACUCCAAGGGCCCAAGCCAACACCACUCGACCAACCCCAAGUGGGUUAAAAAGGACAAAAUUGACACUCAACAUAAGCACUUGAUACGUCUAAUGUUCUUAUCAAUGAAUUAACCACAAAUUUAACAAGAAAGCAAAAAAUCUAACAAGGCUAUAAUGCAGCUUAUAGCAACAAAACCCUAAAAAUUAGGUUUUCUCUAUCCCCUAAUUGCUAAUCUGAAGCUACAAUUUGGAAAUUUUCUCACUUGAACAACCAACUUACAAAAGUGGAGGAUCAACUUAGAAAUUUAUGCACAGAGAGUAAACUUAAUGAAACCAUAAAAAAUUAUCUAACCAUUCUUUCUAAGCAAUAAACUUUGUUACUAUAAAAUUUUCGUGCAACCAACCAAGCAACAUAGAACUUAAUCCAAUGUAAAAAAGAUUAUAACUUUAAGAAUCAUAGGUUAUUAUAACAAAAAGGGUUGUUGCUGUUAGUGAUAACUGAGUUUUGAUUCAUUGAGGACUUUUCACAAACACAUUAAUGCAUAAACGAAAUUCUAGAGAAGUUGAAGUUUAGCUUAGUAAAAGGAGAAGGAAAAUCUCAUCUUUGAGUUGAAUCAAGAACUGGUUGAAUCUUGGGACAUGGUGGUGGAGACAAAAUCACAAUGAAUGAUGAUGUUAGUGUUCCGUCCUUGGUAUUGCUCUUUUCGGUGGUGUUUUGUUUCCGUUUAUUUCCCACGUUAGGAAAAAUAUACUAACAAAAAAAUAAAACAGUUUAAAAUGUGGAGUGUGGAGUUUAA